GCGAACUCCGGUCAGCUGACACAUCCCUGCCAAUCUCCGGCAGACCCUCCCUCCCAGACAGCAUCCAUGUUGAAGGCAGCUUCAACAUGGAUGUUGUCCAGGAAGUGGGAGGGACUGGGAGGGAGGGUCUGCCGGAGAUUGGCAGGGAUGUGUCAGCUGACCGG